rnacentral:rRNA from 1 species
AUUGAACGCUGGCGGCAGGCCUAACACAUGCAAGUCGAGCGGAUGAGGAAAGCUAGCUUUUCGAUUCAGCGGCGGACGGGUGAGUAAUGCCUAGGAGUCUGCCUGUUAGUGGGGGAUAACUCGGGGAAACUCGGGCUAAUACCGCAUACGUCCUACGGGAGAAAGUGGGGGAUCUUCGGACCUCACGCUAACAGAUGAGCCUAGGUCGGAUCAGCUAGUAGGUGAGGUAAUGGCUCACCUAGGCGACGAUCCGUAACUGGUCUGAGAGGAUGAUCAGUCACACUGGAACUGAGACACGGUCCAGACUCCUACGGGAGGCAGCAGUGGGGAAUAUUGGACAAUGGGCGAAAGCCUGAUCCAGCCAUGCCGCGUGUGUGAAGAAGGUCUUCGGAUUGUAAAGCACUUUAAGUUGGGAGGAAGGGUAUUCACCUAAUACGUGGGUACUUUGACGUUACCAACAGAAUAAGCACCGGCUAACUCUGUGCCAGCCGCCGCCGUAACAC